CACGUAGGCGGACGAGAAAGUCAGAGGUGAAAUCCCAGGGCUCAACCCUGGAACUGCCUUUGAAACUCCUUGUCUUGAGGUCGAGAGAGGUGAGUGGAAUUCCGAGUGUAGAGGUGAAAUUCGUAGAUAUUCGGAGGAACACCAGUGGCGAAGGCGGCUCACUGGCUCGAUACUGACGCUGAGGUGCGAAAGCGUGGGGAGCAAACA
rnacentral:rRNA from 1 species